AGUGCAAAGAAGUUCUUCCCUGAUUCCUGCUUGUUCCUUACUCGCGCCCGUCAUCUCCCUACCCCCCGUGCAAACCUGCACGCUGCUCUUCUGUCCUUUAGCCAAAGCGCUGACGCGCAUGGUCACCCCUCACCCCUCACCAUCUGCCUUUCAGUUUCUGGGGUGAGCUCACCCUCCUCCCCCAUAUCUGCACUGACAAGCACCUGGGGGUAGCGCCUGAAAAUCUUAAACGAAACGACUCUGCAGCCCACCCAGGCAGGCCGGGUAGUCAGGACAGAAUAGGGCAUCCGGUCACAGGUUUUGCAUUUCGGUGACUUCCCUUUUCCUUUACCCCUUCCCCUUUUCAGAAAGAGAGACGUGACACAAGAGGUCCCAAGGGAACAAACCUGAAAGCCAGAGCCUCCUGAACACACUGCCAGGGGGCGAAAGGACUUUAGACACUGUCCCCAGAUAUAAGAAGUAUCACUUCCUUCAGAUAGAGGCGGUGAGACAAGUAAUGAGACAGUUCCUCUCCUUGCCCUCCUCGGGAAAGCAUUUUGCGCCUCUGCCUUCGGCAUCAUCUUUGAUGGCUGAAAUUCUGCAAUCUGUUGAAUUUUAAUGAAUGCUGCCGUUGUUACAAGCUCCUGAUACUGUAGUGAGGAUAAUAGCUACAAUUUAUUGAAUGUCUACUAUGUAUCAGGCAAUAUACUUUUUACGCGUUUCACAACCGUAAUCUAAAGACCUCAAAAAAAAAUCCUGCAAAGUAGCCAUUAUUUUCUUAUAGAUGAGCAAAUUUUAAAGCUUAGAGAGAUUAACUUUCCUAAAUUCAUGCAUCUAAUAAGUGCCAAAAUUUUAUAGGAACCUUGAUCUAAUUCAAACCCUACACUUUACAUAUUCUCUUUGAGAUAGUAAUUUAAUACCAAUUAAAUUUUAAAAUCUAGGUGAAGGAGGUAAAACCAUGAAAUGACAAAAUCAUAAGGCUUUAAAGAGUAAAUGGGUAAAUGUUUAAAAAAACGAGUCAUUGACAAGAAUCAGAAUGGAAUUUAAUACUCAGAUUGAUAGAUGAAGCAGAAAACAAGACCAGAUGCUGUGGUUUCCAGGAUGCACUUGGCUUCCCAUCCUUUAUAACCUGGAGCAUUUUUCGCUGUUUGUUCCUGAUGUUUCCCCCACCUGGAGAUCAAUCCCAUUAGCGCGAGUCUUGGUAUUCACAGGGUUUAAAAACAUGGACAUUGCAGCCAAACAGAUGUGGGUCUGAAUGUAAGAUCUAUUAUUUACUAGACUAUGACUUUGGACAAGUUAUUAAACUCU